CCUACGGGUGGCAGCAGUGAGGAAUAUUGGUCAAUGGGCGGAAGCCUGAACCAGCCAAGUAGCGUGCAGGAUGACGGCCCUACGGGUUGUAAACUGCUUUUAUACGGGAAUAACGCGCCUUACGUGUAGGGCUUUGCAUGUACCGUAUGAAUAAGCACCGGCUAACUCCGUGCCAGCAGCCGCGGUAAUACGGAAGGUCCGGGCGUUAUCCGGAUUUAUUGGGUUUAAAGGGUGUGUAGGCCGCAUGUCAAGCGUGCUGUGAAAUGUCCGGGCUCAACCCGGGCCGUGCAGCGGGAACUGGCGGGCUUGAGUCGGCGGAAAGCAGGCGGAAUGCGUCGUGUAGCGGUGAAAUGCUUAGAUAUGGCGAAGAACCCCGAUUGCGAAGGCAGCUUGCUGCAGCGGAACUGACGCUGAUGCUCGAAAGCGCGGGUAUCGAACAGGAUUAGAUACCCUUGUAGUC
rnacentral:rRNA from 1 species